rnacentral:misc_RNA from 1 species
GAUGAAGAACGUAGUGAAAUGCGAUAAGUAAUGUGAAUUGCAGAAUUCAGUGAAUCAUCGAAUCUUUGAACGCACAUUGCGCCCGCCAGUAUUCUGGCGGGCAUGCCUGUCCGAGCGUCAUUUCAACCCUCGAACCCCUCCGGGGGGUCGGCGUUGGGGACCUCGGGAGCCCCUAAGACGGGAUCCCGGCCCCGAAAUACAGUGGCGGUCUCGCCGCAGCCUCUCCUGCGCAGUAGUUUGCACAACUCGCACCGGGAGCUCGGCGCGUCCACGUCCGUAAAACACCCAACUUCUGAAAUGUUGACCUCGGAUCAGGUAGGAAUACCCGCUGAACUUAAGCAUAUCAAUAAGCGGAGGA